rnacentral:rRNA from 1 species
GAUGAACGCUGGCGGCGUGCCUAAUACAUGCAAGUCGAGCGAACAGACGAGGAGCUUGCUCCUCUGACGUUAGCGGCGGACGGGUGAGUAACACGUGGAUAACCUACCUAUAAGACUGGGAUAACUUCGGGAAACCGGAGCUAAUACCGGAUAAUAUAUUGAACCGCAUGGUUCAAUAGUGAAAGACGGUUUUGCUGUCACUUAUAGAUGGAUCCGCGCCGCAUUAGCUAGUUGGUAAGGUAACGGCUUACCAAGGCGACGAUGCGUAGCCGACCUGAGAGGGUGUUCGGCAACACUGGACCGGAGACACGGUCCAGAUCCCUACGGGAGGCAGCGGUGGGAAUCUUCCGCAAUGGGCGAAAGCCUGACGGAGCAACGCCGCGUGAGUGAUGAAGGUCUUCGGAUCGUAAAACUCUGUUAUUAGGGAAGAACAAAUGUGUAAGUAACUAUGCACGUCUUGACGGUACCUAAUCAGAAAGCCACGGCUAACUACGUG